UACGUAGGGUGCGAGCGUUAAUCGGAAUUACUGGGCGUAAAGCGUGCGCAGGCGGUUUUGUAAGCCAGAUGUGAAAGCCCCGGGCUUAACCUGGGAAUGGCAUUUGGGACUGCAAGGCUGGAGUGUGGCAGAGGAGACUGGAAUUCCUGGUGUAGCAGUGAAAUGCGUAGAUAUCAGGAGGAAUACCGAUGGCGAAGGCAGGUCUCUGGGCUGACACUGACGCUCAUGCACGAAAGCUAGGGGAGCGAAUGGG
rnacentral:rRNA from 1 species